AGCAUGAGCAAGAAUGUGGAUAACACACUGAUGUUUUCUCUUGUUGCUAAGUUGUGUUUAUACUAAAUCAAGGAUUUUUCAGCUUCUCAUGCCCAGCCAGCAAGAAGGCUGGAGGGGCACAAGAAGUUGGGAGGGGACACAGCCAGGGCAGCUGACCCAAACUGGCC